AGUGACACGUGGGCUCACAUCUAACCAAAAUGCAUCGGAAGCUGGAAACCUACAGCUUUUACCGAUUCAAGUCCAAAUGAAAGUCCUUGUCAAAGUCAGCUAACUAUGGAAUUCUCCGAGCCUGAAAUGUGAGGAAAUGAGGGUGGUGAGAUUAUAAAAUCCCAGUGAGUAAAUAGAUACCAUCUAAACUAUCUAAAGUCGAGUAAAUGGAGACAAUUAAAAU
rnacentral:lncRNA from 1 species